rnacentral:pre_miRNA from 1 species
CAUGUACUCCCUUUGUUUCGAAUUACUUGUCGCAGGUAUGGAUGUAUCUAGAUGUAUUUUAGUUCUAGAUACAUACAUUUCUGCGACGAAUAAUUUGAAAUGGAAGGAGUAGUAG